AUUGAACGCUGGCGGCAUGCUUUACACAUGCAAGUCGAACGGCAGCGCGGGCUUCGGCCUGGCGGCGAGUGGCGAACGGGCGAGUAAUACAUCGGAACGUGCCCAGUAGUGGGGGAUAGCUCGGCGAAAGCCGGAUUAAUACCGCAUACGACCUGAGGGUGAAAGCGGGGGAUCUUCGGACCUCGCGCUAUUGGAGCGGCCGAUGGCAGAUUAGCUAGUUGGUGGGGUAAAGGCCUACCAAGGCGACGAUCUGUAGCUGGUCUGAGAGGACGACCAGCCACACUGGGACUGAGACACGGCCCAGACUCCUACGGGAGGCAGCAGUGGGGAAUUUUGGACAAUGGGCGAAAGCCUGAUCUAGCAAUGCCGCGUGUGUGAUGAAGGCCUUCGGGUUGUAAAGCACUUUUGGCGGGAACGAAAAGGACUGUGCCAAUACCACGGUUCGAUGACGGUACCCGCAGAAUAAGCACCGGCUAACUACGUG
rnacentral:rRNA from 1 species